CAGUGGCCGAGUGGACAACGCGAAGGCGUUUGAAGCGAUAGGUACUGGGUUCGAGUCCCAGAGUGAA
rnacentral:tRNA from 1 species